rnacentral:rRNA from 1 species
UACGGAGGGUGCUAGCGUUGUUCGGAAUCACUGGGCGUAAAGCGCGUGUAGGCGGUCUGCUAAGUCUGAUGUGAAAGCCCGGGCUCACCCCCGGAAGUGCAUUGGAAACUGGCAGACUGGAGUCCCGGAGAGGAGGGUGGAAUUCCUGGUGUAGCGGUGAAAUGCGUAGAUAUCAGGAGGAACACCGGUGGCGAAGGCGGCCCUCUGGACGGUGACUGACGCUGAGACGCGAAAGCGUGGGGAGCGAACAGG